GAUGAACGCUGGCGGCGUGCCUAAUACAUGCAAGUAGAACGCUGAAGGAAGGAGCUUGCUCUUUCCGGAUGAGUUGCGAACGGGUGAGUAACGCGUAGGUAACCUGCCUGGUAGCGGGGGAUAACUAUUGGAAACGAUAGCUAAUACCGCAUAACAGUAGAUGUUGCAUGACAACUAUUUGAAAGGGGCAAUUGCUCCACUACCAGAUGGACCUGCGUUGUAUUAGCUAGUUGGUGAGGUAACGGCUCACCAAGGCGACGAUACAUAGCCGACCUGAGAGGGUGAUCGGCCACACUGGGACUGAGACACGGCCCAGACUCCUACGGGAGGCAGCAGUAGGGAAUCUUCGGCAAUGGGCGGAAGUCUGACCGAGCAACGCCGCGUGAGUGAAGAAGGUUUUCGGAUCGUAAAGCUCUGUUGUAAGAGAAGAACGAGUGUGAGAGUGGAAAGUUCACACUGUGACGGUAUCUUACCAGAAAGGGACGGCUAACUACGUG
rnacentral:rRNA from 1 species